rnacentral:tRNA from 1 species
GGCAGGGUAGCUCAGCGGUAGAGCAGUGCCUUCAUAAGGCAUUGGCCGUGGGUUCAAAUCCCACCCCUGCUA